CUUCUGUUGAAAAUCAUAACACAGUUUGCUGGAGCUGAGUCUUGUUCUCAUGUAGAGACGACACAGUUCAUCACAGCUACUCAGAAAGAGGUAGCUGUCCUCCCCUGUUUCACAUCAACCCGCCUAGAUUUAGCAACCAGAGUAAAAUGGACAAAACUUUCACCUAAACCUGAGGGCAUCUUGGUGUGGCCUGAUGAUCCAUCUGUGGCCCAUAAGUCAGAACGUGUGGCCUUCGAGUCGGGAGUGGAUGUUGUGGUGGCUGGAAACCUGUCCCUGUCUCUAAGAGAUGUCAGGAAAUCUGACGAAGGGCUUUACAGCUGCAAGGUCUGGCAGGGAUGGAGUUGUGUCAUGGUGAAAAACAUCACUCUAAAAGUGAAAGAAUGCAAAAUCCUACAUUCAGUUAUGGCAGCACCCAACAGAAUAGCUACCCUGCCUUGCAUGUUGAACAUGACAACAGGAAUGCCCCAAAUAUCAUCGGUGUCCUGGGGAGAGAUCAAGGGAGACACUGAGACCCAAAUACUUCAAUACCCUACAUAUAUCACCCACCAAACAUCCCUAGGAAAUAGGGUGAGCUUUGGAGGAAAUCUCAGUUCAGGAGAUGCAUCUUUGGCUCUCUCCCUGGUGGAGUACAGUGACAGCCAAUGGUACAGAUGUAAGUUGCAUAUGGGACAAAAUGAACGCUGCUUUGAGGUCAAGCUACAGGUUAAAGAACAGGAAGAGGAGAUUUCCACCACAACUGAACCAGCAAACCGUGUUACAGCCAGUCAGAGUCCAGAAAGAGUUGUGACAGCUGCAGUUCGAACUAUAGUGGCUUCAUCCAUGUGUGUGAUCUUCAUAAUGGCUCUUACACUGGGAGUGAUCAUUUACCUCAGACGCCGCAGACACUCCGGUAUGUAUGGACACUACUCUGGUUAAUAUUGACCUGGUAAAGUAAGGCAGACACUCAGGUAUGUGUGGACACUACUCUGGUUAAUAUUGACCUGGUAAAGUAAGGCUACAUGUUUUGAAAUACACAUUCCAAUACACAGUAUUAUUGUAUUGUGGAUCUGCCUCUCUCUCUUUCUCAGUUGAAGAUCACUGGCAUACUUAUGAAGAUGUACAAGACUCAGGUAAGCCCGUUGAUUAUGUCCCAUCCUGAGUAUGCUCAGAGUGCUCCUCGUCCACCUCGGUAGUGGAAAAAUUACUCAAUUGUCAUACUUGAGUAAAAG